rnacentral:rRNA from 1 species
UGGCUCAGGAUGAACGCUGGCGGCGUGCCUAAUACAUGCAAGUCGAGCGAGAUGUUAGCGCAUGAACCUUCGGGGGAUUAUGCUAACGGACAGCGGCGGACGGGUGAGUAACGCGUAGGCAACCUGCCCCUGACAGAGGGAUAGCCAUUGGAAACGAUGAUUAAAACCUCAUGACACCGUAGAAGCACAUGCUUCAUCGGUCAAAGAUUUAUCGGUCAGGGAUGGGCCUGCGUCUGAUUAACUAGUUGGUGAGGUAACGGCUCACCAAGGUGACGAUCAGUAGCCGACCUGAGAGGGUGAUCGGCCACAUUGGAACUGAGACACGGUCCAAACUUCUACGGAAGGCAGCAGUAGGGAAUCUUGCACAAUGGGCGAAAGCCUGAUGCAGCAACGCCGCGUGAAGGAUGAAGGCCUUCGGGUUGUAAACUUCUGUUCUAAGGGAAGAAACAAAUGACGGUACCUUAGGAGCAAGCCCCGGCUAACUACGUGCCAGCAGCCGCGGUAAUACGUAGGGGGCAAGCGUUAUCCGGAAUUAUUGGGCGUAAAGAGUGCGUAGGUGGUUACCUAAGCGCAAGGUUUAAUUUAGAGGCUCAACCUCUACUUGCCUUGCGAACUGGGCUACUUGAGUGCAGGAGGGGAAAGCGGAAUUCCUAGUGUAGCGGUGAAAUGCGUAGAUAUUAGGAGGAACACCAGCGGCGAAGGCGGCUUUCUGGACUGUAACUGACACUGAGGCACGAAAGCGUGGGUAGCAAACAGGAUUAGAUACCCU